rnacentral:rRNA from 1 species
AUUGAACGCUGGCGGCAUGCUUUACACAUGCAAGUCGAACGGUAACAGGCCGCAAGGUGCUGACGAGUGGCGAACGGGUGAGUAAUGCAUCGGAACGUGCCCAGUCGUGGGGGAUAACGCAGCGAAAGCUGUGCUAAUACCGCAUACGAUCUAUGGAUGAAAGCGGGGGACCGUAAGGCCUCGCGCGAUUGGAGCGGCCGAUGUCAGAUUAGGUAGUUGGUGGGGUAAAGGCCCACUAAGCCAACGUUCUGUAGCUGGUCUGAGAGGACGACCAGCCACACUGGGACUGAGACACGGCCCAGACUCCUACGGGAGGCAGCAGUGGGGAAUUUUGGACAAUGGGCGCAAGCCUGAUUCAGCAAUGCCGCGUGCAGGAAGAAGGCCUUCGGGUUGUAAACUGCUUUUGUACGGAACGAAACGGUCUGGGUUAAUACCCUGGGCUAAUGACGGUACCGUAAGAAUAAGCACCGGCUAACUACGUGCCAGCCGCCGCGGUAAGAC